AUGCUCCCUUCGGCAGCACAUAUGCUAAAAUUGGAAAAAUACAGAGGAGAUGAACAGGGCCCCUGUGCAAGGAUGAGACCCAAAUUCCUGAAGCAUCUCAUAUUUUU
ensembl:snRNA U6 U6 spliceosomal RNA